GAGCACGUAGGUGGGUUUGUAAGUCAGAUGUGAAAGCCUUCUGUUCAACGGAAGAAUUGCAUCUGAAACUGCGAGUCUUGAGUGUAGGAGGGGAGAAUGGAACUUCUGGUGGAGCGGUGAAAUGCGUAGAUAUCAGAAGGAACGCCGGCGGCGAAAGCGAUUCUCUGGCCUAUUACUGACACUCAGUGUGCGAAAGCUAGGGGAGCAAACGGGAUUAGAUACCCCGGUAGUCCUAGCCGUAAACGAUGGGCACUAAGUAGAGGGAAUUACCGAUGUUCUCUCUGCCGUAGCUAACGCAUUAAGUGCCCCGCCUGGGGAGUACGGCCGCAAGGCUAAAACUCAAAAGAAUUGACGGGGGCUCGCACAAGCGGUGGAGCAUGUGGCUUAAUUCGAUGCAACGCGAAAAACCUUACCGGGGCUUGACAUGGUAGAAGUAGGAACCCGAAAGGGUAACGAACGGUAUCCAGUCCGUAGCUAUCACAGGUGUUGCAUGGCUGUCGUCAGCUCGUGUCGUGAGACGUUGGGUUAAGUCCCCUAACGAGCGAAACCCUUGUUUUUAGUUACCAGCGGGUUAUGCCGGGUACUCUAGAAAGACUGCCGUCGUCAAGACGGAGGAAGGUGGGGAUGACGUCAAGUCAUCAUGGCCCUUAUGCCCCGGGCUGCACACGUGCUACAAUGGUCGGUACAAACGGAUGCGAAGCCGAGAGGUGAAGCGAAUCC
rnacentral:rRNA from 1 species